UGUGUGUUUACGUUUGGACUUCUCUCGGGUGUGUGCUCAGGCAUGUGUUUGUGUGUUAGAAAAACAAAUGGUGCACCAAAACACAAAAUCUUAAGUUGAAUGAUGAUGACUAAAGGAUAGACUUGCUGGCAUGGUCAUUGGAUAGAAUGUAUCCUGUUUCUUAGGAAAAUUUUUACUUAUAGAUAUCUUUUCUAUGUCUGUAUUUUGCAUAAAUAUUAGGUAAACAACAUGCAGCCUAUUACAAAUUGAUCCUUGUUGUUAAGGACAAAUUGAGUAACAUGUAGAAUAGUCAGAACUGGCUUCAGGAUCUUCUUAGAUUGAUGUGCAAGAAAUGCUUUAGAUGUCUUGAACCACACAUGUUCACACUUAUUAAUCAUAAAUGGGAAAGACCAGGCAUCACCUUUGAAAGUUUGAAACCAUUUGGCACUGAGGGUUCUUUAAGAAAUAUAUUUAAGACAAGCUCUCUGUUGUUCCCUAUAUAUAUAUAUAUAUUGGGAAGUUCAUUUGGAGGAUAAUUCGUUCCUUCUAAAAUUUCUUGGGGCUAUUUUGGUUUUGCACCAUUUGCCAACAGAUCCCACUCAUUGUUCUAUUUUAUAAAAAAAAGGGACAAAAGAGAACCAUUUGCAAAUUGGAAUAGCCAUUCAUAUAAUUUGCAAUUGACCCUUGAUCUUUGAUAUAUCCGAGUCACAUACGUGCAAGUAAUUAUUGAUAUCUUCUUUAUAGGUGGUCAGUCCUUCAGAGAAAUC
rnacentral:misc_RNA from 1 species